rnacentral:lncRNA from 1 species
GACUGCCGAGGGCAAGUUAGGGAGUCAUUUGAAGAUCAAAGGUUAGGAUUUGAGAGCUAGCUUGAAGUUCUUUCCAGAGACGUAAGAAUUAUUUUGAGAAGAUUUAGAGGACUUAGCAAUUGUUGUUCAAAGUCAAGGUUUGUAUCAAUGAUUUAGAUUUUAUAUAAUAUAAUUAGGACUAGCAAUUUUGGUUAAUUCGUACAAUUAGUUUACAUCCAUAAUUAAAAAUUUGACACUAUUUGGAUUAUUGGAUGUGCUAAGUAUAUACAAAAUUUUAUAAUAAUCUAACAAUGUGGUUUAGAGAUAUAUAGUUUUUAUUACAAGAGGAUUUCAGAAGGUGGUAGUUUGAGGUUGGAUAGGGUUUCUAUGAUAUCUGAAGUUCUAUUAGUUGGAUUAAGGUAAAAAUUGGUAUGGUGUUGAAG